rnacentral:rRNA from 1 species
GGGUUGUGAGGUUAAGCGACUAAGCGUACACGGUGGAUGCCCUGGCAGUCAGAGGCGAUGAAGGGCGUGCUAAUCUGCGAUAAGCGCCGGUAAGGUGAUAUGAACCGUUAUAACCGGCGAUACCCGAAUGGGGAAACCCAGUGUGAUUCGUCACACUAUCAUUAACUGAAUCCAUAGGUUAAUGAGGCGAACCGGGGGAACUGAAACAUCUAAGUACCCCGAGGAAAAGAAAUCAACCGAGAUUCCCCCAGUAGCGGCGAGCGAACGGGGAGGAGCCCAGAGCCUGAAUCAGCAUGUGUGUUAGUGGAAGCGUCUGGAAAGGCGCGCGAUACAGGGUGACAGCCCCGUACACAAAAGCGCAUGUGCUGUGAGCUCGAUGAGUAGGGCGGGACACGUGGUAUCCUGUCUGAAUAUGGGGGGACCAUCCUCCAAGGCUAAAUACUCCUGACUGACCGAUAGUGAACCAGUACCGUGAGGGAAAGGCGAAAAGAACCCCGGCGAGGGGAGUGAAAAAGAACCUGAAACCGUGUACGUACAAGCAGUGGGAGCACAGGUUUACCUGUGUGACUGCGUACCUUUUGUAUAAUGGGUCAGCGACUUAUAUUCUGUAGCAAGGUUAACCGAAUAGGGGAGCCGGAGGGAAACCUGAGGGAAAGGCGAAAAGAACCCCGGCGAGGGGAGUGAAAAAGAACCUGAAACCGUGUACGUACAAGCAGUGGGAGCCCCACCACUAAGCCAGUGGUGAACUCCACAUACGCAUCCUUUGCUGAGGAUACGGUUAACGGAGCGAAAGCGACGUUCAACCGCAAAAGAAGCAGAGGGGGCUUAGUGGUGGGGUGACUGCGUACCUUUUGUAUAAUGGGUCAGCGACUUAUAUUCUGUAGCAAGGUUAACCGAAUAGGGGAGCCGGAGGGA